GCACUCGUAGCUCAGCUGGAUAGAGUCGCGGACUUCGAAUCCGAAGGUCGAGAGUUCGAAUCUCUCCGGGUGCA
rnacentral:tRNA from 1 species